rnacentral:sRNA from 1 species
UGAAUUAGUCGCCGAACCAUCAAAAGAAU